GGGCUUAUGGUCUAGCGGUAUGACAUCUUCUUAGCAUCUUGCGAAGUUCUGAUCACUCGAUCAGUUACGACCGCAGUUACUGAGUUGGAGAAGGUUCCCGGUUCGACUCCGGGUUAGUCCA